rnacentral:rRNA from 1 species
UACAGAGGUGGCAAGCGUUGUUCGGAAUCACUGGGCUUAAAGGGCGCGCAGGCGGCCGAAAGGGUGUCUUGUGAAAUCUCCCGGCUUAACCGGGGAACUGCGAGGCAAACCGUUCGGCUUGAGGCAGGUAGAGGUUGAUGGAACUCUGGGUGGAGCGGUGAAAUGCGUAGAUAUCCAGGGGAACGCCAAUGGUGAAAACAGUCAACUGGGCCUGUCCUGACGCUGAGGCGCGAAAGCCAGGGGAG